AAAAAAGUACCGGAAGAACCGAAUUUUUCGGUUAACCACACAGCUUUAGUAAACGGAUCUUUAGACCUUACUGGGAGCAGCUACAAAAAAAUGCAACUGUUCACAUUUAACGUAUUUUCAUUUUUUGCUCAAAUUUUAGAUAAAAUCAGUGUUCACAAUCGGAGUAUUUUCUAACCGUAUGUUUCUACUGGCAGUUGGAGGUUCGCUUCUUGGUCAAAUGCUGGUAAUAUAUUUUCCACCAUUGCAGGCGGUUUUUCAAACUGAGGCACUUUUGCUUUCUGAUCUAGCAUUGCUGGCUUGCAUUGCUUCCACAGUCUUGAUAUUUGACGAAGUAAGGAAGCAUGUAGUCAGACGUUCGUCGAGGAAGAGGAUCCCAGACGAAAAACUUUAUCCAGUUUAGUUAGGAUUUUAAGGUUACAGAACACCUUUGAGUGUUAAUUUUGCCUAAAAUUUUUUUAUUGGUUCCCAUGAAAGCAUUAGACUAGUUCUACUAUCUGACCAAGUUUCAACGAAAAAUGUUGAAAACUCGCAGAGUUAUUUAAUAAAACACAUUUCGCUGCAAUAAGAAAAACAUUGAAAAUGUAAUAUUCAAAUUCAAUUUUCUCCCGAAGAAUUUUACGGUAAUUACUGAUUUUCAAACGAGUUAUGCUCCUGCGGGUUUUAACCAAUUUUUCUCAAAUUUUCACAGGACAUAGCUAAAGACGUCAAAGUUGUGUUCGGCUUUUUUUUAAUUUUGGAUAUUUUAAUAAUAAAGAGCAAUUCACUCAAACAAUUCAGAAAUAUAUUGCAGUCGUCAAAGAAAUCGCCAUAUCAGCGGAAAGACGAAAUAAACAAAAAUUUCCGAACACAAUUUUUUAGAUCAACUAUUUUGCUGUAUAAAAAUGAUAUUUUCAUAAAUAUAUAACUUAAAACCAGCAGGUGCACAACUCAAAAGCGUAAUGGUACCGCGAUUUAAGAUUUUCCUGAAUAAUUCUUACAUUAUUUUAUUGUUUGUUAAUUUUAAAACUUUACCAUAUUUUGCAUGCACUGGCGAAUAUUUGGUGAAAAUUUGAUUAAAAUCGGACUGAUAUUGAGCGCGCAGUAGCGAUUUUCCGCAAAACACCAAAAAAGGGUGUCCUGUAACCUUAAAUAUAGAACAGCACGGUAAUGGACCUUUACUGCGCUUGUCGAGGCGAUUUAUAAUUUGAUGUUAUACAUAUAUAGCACUCCAGACUGUAAAGUUUUGGCUUUCGAAGAAAUUAAUUUCCUGCGCAAAAAUUCUUGCACAUUAGGCCACAUAAAAAAAAUAGUUGGUUAGCGUCCUCGCCCGCCCACAAAAAAGGCCCCGCUCAGGAUUUUUUUUAUUUUUUAUUUUUAAAAAACCCAACUUUUAUUGAUCAACAGGCUCUAAUAUAUGUAGUAUUUCUGUUGACUGUAGUCAAGUGUGUUAAUAAAUUGCGAAAUUGCGUGCGAAAAUGACGGUGAUGAAUCAUAUUUUGAAAUAUAUAAAAAAAUAUCUGUACUGCGCAAGAAAAUCCAGUUUCGGACCUAAAACAAAGGCGUUAACAAUUAGUAAAAAUUAAAAAAAAAGCGCCCGCCCGCCCACUUUUUGGCAAAAGCUAAGGACGCUAACCAACUAUUUUUUUUAUGUGGCCUUAUGGAAAUCUGCGCAAAUUUUUUUUCAAAUUGUAAAAAAGACUGUAAAUAAUUUCUGAAGAAUCUGCACAAAAUAGGCGCCUUUGCGAACCAAGAAGGAAGCAGAUUUCUGAUCUUCCUAUUUGACAAAAACACUUUCUGACUGCACGAUCCCUCUUCCAUAAAUAUUCUUUGAAAAUAUCUGACAUUUCUGCGCAAUUUUCCCAAGGAAAAAUAUUUCCUGCACAAACUAAAACGUUUCAGUCUGGUAUAAACUACGAGAAAUGAAAAGAGCAGGUCAAGGUUAGGCUUUAUUUUGAAAACUGUGCCACUAUUUUGAAUGAACUUCGAAAUUUUAUAAAGAAAAAAUAUGGGGACGUUCUACGCAAACUGAUUCCCAUACAUGUAUAUUCCCACAUUCCCUAAUAAACGUUCUGUAUUUAGAAACAACGCAAGUGUCACAGUUUUAACGAUAUAUAUAUAGCCUCCAAAUUUCGUGUCCUUACUAAUUUAUAUUUAUAUAUUCAAAUUUUACAUUACAUUCAUUCUUAGACUUAGGCAGCGUUUACACUGUACCGUUUUCGUAUCGUUCUCGUAUUGUUCUUAAUCCUCAAGGGAACGCAAGACAAUAGUCUAGUUCUCUCGAACAAUACGAGAACGCUACGAAAACGGUACAGUGUAAACGCUGCCUAAAUGUUGUAUGGUUUACACCGCAGGUCUAAACCAUGAAUGAUACAUUAUUGUCGAUUUCAGAUUACUUUUCAAAGCGCGGUUCCCAGGUUGGGCGGGAACUUCGCAACGAAGUUCGCAAGUUUAUUUCAAAGUUCAUUUAUAAAUUUAUUUAAAAAGGCAUUUUUUGUCUUGGGAGACCACUGGACCAAUAUUUUACUGCAGUAAUAUGUGCAUAGGGCCUUAUACAGUAAUUUCAACUCCAACUAUGAACAUUUGUUUACAAUCAAAGUUCGAACUUUGAAAUGAACUUCCGAAGCCCAACUUCCGAGCUUGACAACGUAAUUGGCAAGUUCGCAACGAACUUGGGAACAGCGUGUUGAAAAGUUACCUGAAAUCGACAAUAAAUGUGCAAGCAUUCUAUUAAAAAACACCUUGGUCAAUUUCAGAAUGCAUAACGCCAAUGGGUUUAUAUCCAACCAGGCACCUGAUUUUACAGGUGCCUGCAAGAAGCACAAUAAUGAAUAAUUAUUUAAAGUGCCAUUAACCCCAAAUAUGAUUUUUGGCAUGUGUAAUAUUUGGGUCAUUCUAAUGUGAUAUAUUUUUGUGGUAAAGUCCCAUUUUGAUGUUGCCAGAUAGGAUGUCAUUCAAUGAUUUGUAAAUUAGUUUUCCUUUGAUUUCUGUUGCUAAAAUUCAUGGUCAGAACGUCAUCCAGUCCUAGGACCUGAUCAAACUUCAUCCAAUCCUAGGAUUUAAUCAAAGUUCAUGCAAUCGUAGGACUCUUGAUCCAAUUUCAUCCAGUUCUAGGACUGAUCGAAACUUCGUCCAGUCCUAUGACUUGAUCAAAACAUCAUCCUGUCCUAGGACCUGAUCGAAACUUCAUCCAGUCAUAGGACUUGAUCAAACUUUGUCCAAUCCUAGGAUUUAAUCAAACUUCAUGCAAUCCUAGGACUUGAUCCAAUUUCAUCCAGUUCUAGGACUGAUCGAAACUUCAUCCAGUUCUAGGACUUGAUGAAAACAUCAUCCAGUCCUAGGACUUGAUCAAACUUCAUUCAGUCCUAGUACUUGAUCGAAACUUAUAAAAUAACAUGUAUAUAACGCGUGUUCUGAUUGGUCGAAACCCGUGUUUGGAUCAGGCCAUCCAAACACGGAAGACUAUCGUGUUGUUGGUAUUUUAUAAAACAAUUACUUUAUGGUUUCCGUGUUUGGAUGGAAUGAUCCAAACACUUGGGAAUGUUGCUCGAGUUAAGAAAAGCGGGCAAAAUCACUCGCCUUCGGCUCGUGAUUUCGCUCGCUUUUCUUAACUCUUGCAACAUUCCCGCGUGUUUGGAUCAGGCCAUCCAAACACGGAAACCAUAAAGUAAUUGUAUAUUCAUCCAGUCCUGGAACUUGAUCAAAACUUUAUGCAGUCCUAGGAUUUGAACGAACUUCUUCCAUUCCUAAAACAUGAUCAAUUUUCACCCAUUGCAUAUACAAGCUUUCCAUAUACAUGCAUGUUCUAGGUAAGAUCAGCUGCGGACCAAAAGCAAAGAAGUUCAAAACACUC